rnacentral:rRNA from 1 species
UACGUAGGGUGCAAGCGUUGUUCGGAAUUACUGGGCGUAAAGGGAGCGUAGGCGGAAAUGUAAGUUAGGAGUUAAAUACACAGGCUUAACCUGUGGGCUGCUUUUAAUACUGCAUUUCUUGAGUAUGGGAGAGGGCGAUGGAAUUCCAGGUGUAGCGGUGGAAUGCGUAGAUAUCUGGAAGAACACCAGUUGCGAAGGCGGUCGCCUGGCCCAAUACUGACGCUGAGGCUCGAAAGCUAGGGGAG